AUUGGCACACGCUCUUGGUGGUAGUAGCAAAUAAUCGAAUGAGAUCUUGGAGGACUGAAGUGGAGAAGGGUUUCGUGUGAACAGUGGUUGAUCACGAGUUAGUCGGUCCUAAGCUCAAGGCGAAAGCCGAAAAAUGUUAAAGUAUAUAUUAUAAUUAAUAAUACUUUAGUUUUAUUGAACGAAAGGGAAUACGGUUCCAAUUCCGUAACCUGUUGAGUAUACGUUUGUAAUUAAAACUGGGCUCUAUGCUCAUCCUGGCAACAGUAACAACCAUAAAGAAGCCGUCGAGAGAUAUCGAAAGAGUUUUCUUUUCUGUUUUAUAGUCGUAUUACCAUGGAAGUCUUUCGAAGAGAGAUAUGGUAAAUGGACUAGAAGAGCAUGGCAUUUACUGCUGUGUCGAUAUUUUCUCCUCGGACCUUGAAAAUUUAUGGUAGGGUCACGCAAAUUUCUUAACAGGCCGUACCGAUAUCCGCAGCUGGUCUCCAAGGUGAAGAGUCUCUAGUCGAUAGAAUAAUGUAG
rnacentral:rRNA from 1 species